rnacentral:lncRNA from 10 species
UUCCAAAAGACCAUGGAGAUGUCUGGCUGCUAUAGAUACCCCAGAAAGUCACUCACCAAACAAAUUCGGAAAAAUUGGAAAAAUUAACAUUGCAUUGGGCAUUCUGGGAAACCAGGGCCAAGAAGUUUAGGCUCUCGCUGACAGUUAUAUUCAUUCUGGAGCCACAAAGUCCUCCUGUUUAAUUAAGUGCUGAGAGUUGGGGACUCGCUUAAUGACUGGAUUGCCUCUUGUUCCCAGCACAAAAAAGUGGACCAACAUCUGCAUGGUCUUCUCCAGGUAGGAGAGAGCAGAUGGUUUAAGCCUUUGCCAGGAGGCCUCAUUCACACGCUGGAUUUUAAGGCAUCGUGGUGCUUGUGAGGUGCUUGGUGAGUCUCAGUCAAAUGCUUCUUUGUAAGGCGUGGUAUGAAGGGGUCACUUAGAAGGUGAGCAAGACAUUAAAUGCUCCAUUUCCUCACUGUGAGGUAACACUCUGCAGUCAAACCAGGAGGAGGGAUUUAUUUCAUUUGCUCCUGAAGUUAAAUCUCAUGAAAUCAUGUGAAAUUCAGUGAUGUGUUACUGGGAACAAAAAGGGUUACGUUAUUAAUUGUGAUGCCUUCCCACAAGAGCUGUGUCUGUACUGUGCCACAUAACCCCUGAAGCUGAAUAAAGAACUUUCUCCUUGAUUCCCCCAGCCCUCCAAAAACAUCAGCAGGUGAUGAGGUCCCAUUGUAAAUGACCCAAGGACAAACAGCUCAUGACUUCAAAGGAGGCCUCUUCAACCCAGGGCAAAUUCAGGCCUUCAUUCCAGGGGUCUGUAAGCAAGUACUGAGUGAAGAGAUAUCCUAAAAUCAAUCGUUCCUCUUUGCCAACCCUGGAUAAUGGCAACAACUUCUUUAGUGGCAUGCUGCAUGCUCUGUUUGGUCAUGUCCAGAGAUACCCAAGAUAAAGAAGUUUGAUAAAUAUACACAUUAACUCAGCAAAAAUAACAUGGUUAUUUUCAUGAAUAUUGCACUUGGGCACAUCAGCAAAAUUCAAAAGUGAUAAAAGGUGAGCAUUGUAUAUGAAUUUUGCAUAUGUACAUGGUAAUAUUUUGACACUAGGAACAAUAUUUUAAGUUGAAAUGUCUAUAUUUUAAUUUAGUAAAGAUUUGGCAAGCCCCUGCUAUAUUAGCAAUAUCAAGAUAAUGAGAUAAAGAUCCCACUCUCAAUAAAAAUAUAAAAUUAUACAUGUUUCUUGUGCCCAUCAUCAGCCAUCGUUAUGAACAUCACUCUGAACUGUUAUGCACAAUAAGAUAACUAGAGGGUUAAAAAUGAAGGUUUUACUGCUCACGUUGAAUAUUAUUUUUAGAAAAGAAAGUCAUUUCUAUUAUAGAGGAGGCAUUGUGGUCUACUAUAAUGGCAAGCAUAUUAAAAACAAUGCAUUCCUGGUGAAAUAAUGCUUAGAGCAUAGUCAACAAAAUAAGCAGGCUGCUGAAAAAAGUUUAAAUGUCAUAUUUCAUUAAUUCUAAGACACAUUUCCUCCUGCUUUUAGAUCUCUCAAAUUGAAAGGCAUCUUACAACCUAUAGAUGAAAUCUAGUAAAUAGAAUAAGAUAAAAAGUAUCUUAGUUUCUUUCCUUGGGUUGUUUGCCUUUCUUUUAAGGGAAGGUUUGUUUGACUGUUGUGUUUUGUUUUUAACAGCUUGUUUAUGAAUCUUCCCUUUUCUAGCGUUAAUGAUUGUGUGAGCCUAGAAUUUAAAUGGUACAAAACUCUGAUUUUUGUUUUUAUUCUUUGUUCUGACCAUUACUGAGGGGAGUACAGGACACUGAAGCAGAAACAAGGUCUGAAAGUGGCAAUGUGGACCUUGCUCCUCUGUGGAGGACUCUGGUACCUGUCUGUGUCUGAAUCUUGCCACUUCCACUUAUCUAGCUUUGCGAUCUGGAAAAGAUUAACUUUAGCCUCUCUGUGCCUCAGUUUCUUCAAGUGCUGAAUAAUGGUAUCUACCUCAUAGUGCUGCUAUGAGGGUUGAGUUUAAUAUAAGUAAGGCCUUAGAAUAAUGCCUGGCACAUACUAAAUAUUCUCUCAACUUUAGCUGUUACCAUUGUGCCUCACUUCC